GAAAGCUGAAUCCUAAUAAGAUUUGUUUAGGCCCUCUAGGGUUAUAUAUACUUGUCUCCAGGCUUGUUCCUUUUUCUUAUCAAAGAUAUCCCCAUCGUCACAGUACCUGAUCUGGUUCUUUCACUGCAUAAUUUCAAUGGAGUGCGUGAAAAGGAGGCUGGCCAAGAAACUACUUCUGCCGCUGGAGCAGCAAUUCCCGUUCACAUGUGAAAUCUGUACGGAGAGAAAACCAUACAACAAAUCCUUUUCAGUCAAGGGGUGUCGCCACUCUUAUUGUUCUGAUUGUCUUGUAAAAUACAUUGACAUCAAACUACAAAGCAAAGUUAUUCACAUUCUAUGCCCUGGUCUUGGAUGCACCAGCCAAUUAGACCCUGACAAUUGUCGUCCAAUUAUUGCCGACAAGAUGUUUGAUCAUUGGUGGGCUGCUCUCUACGAAUCUUGGAUUCCUCAAGCCUGCAAGUUGUAUUGCCCCAACAAAACUUGCUCUGCUUUGUUAUUUAUUGAUGCUGAUGGCAGUAGAGGUCCAAUGCUGGCGUGUCCGUAUUGCCAACAAAGGCUGUGUGUGCAUUGUAAAGUCAUGUGGCAUGAGGGGAUUGGCUGCGAAGAAUUCUACUGGCGGAACAAGGAAGAGGAUGAAAAGGAAGACGCCUUGCUUCACCAGCUUGCCUCCGAAAAUGGCUGGCAACAAUGUCCAAACUGCCACAUAUAUAUUUCUCACUAUGACUCGGCCAGUUGUGACGUUAUGCUCUGCAGGAGUUGCGGGUGUGGAUUCUGUUACGGUUGCGGGACUGCUUAUGGUGGUCAUGGAGCACACAUCCCACAUACAGUUUGUUACCGCAAGAAUCAUCCUCCGCUCCACGUACUACAAUCUGUCAAGGACGAUGGAAAGAUUUUAGUUCGGGAGCCGCCCGAAUUUAUCAUCCUCUUCAACGGGCUCUUCAAACAAGCUGAUCUUAACUCUAAAUUUAAAGACGAUCCGAAAAAUUAGAACUCCAAUGGACUCUUAGCGACUUCUCACGCCUCACAUAUUAAUGAGCAUCUAGGUACUCUUAAUUUAUUUGUGUUUACUUCUCUCUCUUUCUCUCUCCAAUUUUUCUUCAAACCUGUCAUCCUCUUCAAACAAGCUUUUAACUCAAAAUUUAAAGAGGAUCCGAAAAAUUAGAACUCCAAUGGACUCUUAGUGACUCUUAGCUUAUUGUUAUUGAAUAUGAUAUUCAAUUUCUUCUAUUUGUAUUCA